AAGCACCGGCUAACUCCGUGCCAGCAGCCGCGGUAAUACGGAGGGUGCAAGCGUUAAUCGGAAUUACUGGGCGUAAAGCGCACGCAGGCGGUUGAUUAAGUUAGAUGUGAAAUCCCCGGGCUUAACCUGGGAAUGGCAUCUAAGACUGGUCAGCUAGAGUCUNGUAGAGGGGGGUAGAAUUCCAUGUGUAGCGGUGAAAUGCGUAGAGAUGUGGAGGAAUACCGGUGGCGAAGGCGGCCCCCUGGACAAAGACUGACGCUCAGGUGCGAAAGCGUG
rnacentral:rRNA from 1 species